rnacentral:tRNA from 1 species
GGUGGCUCAGUGGUAGAGUGCUUGCCUUGCAAGCAUGAAGCCCUGGGUUCGAUUCCUCAGUACUA